ACCUGAACUUCCACUACGGAAGUUUCACUACAGUAGAGGAAAAACAAUCCAGGAAAAAGAAAGAGGGAAAAAACAUCCUGUGCUGAAAUAUGGGGACAGUGGGCCCUCCUGGACCAGCAGCGGUGGUCCAAAUUCCUGAAUGGGUAGCAGAUGUGGACAAGGUAACAAAGGAUGUGAACAGCACUGAACAGGAGGAAGAGGAAAUGAUCAAAUCUGCUAGUAUGGAACCCAGUACCCUACAGUGGCCUGAGAAUAAACCCGAACCACAGAUUCUGCCAGUCAAGGAUGGAGAAAGCACAAGUCUGAAAUCAGAUUGCAUCUCACUCCAAGGUGGAGUGAGCCAGACGGAGAGUCAGAGGGAGGAAUUUUUGCUGAAGGGGAUGGAUGCUGGAAAAGGGAGUGUUUCUGACUCUGAGCUGAGAAACGGAGUGAAAAGCACCUGUUCGGAGAUAGAGGUGGAGGAGGUGAACAUAAUGCCAGAGAACGCAGCCCGAGUCUUCAGCCCCAACAUCUCCAUCCUGCACUCCACUAGCAAGCAGGAGGCUGCAGACCACUGGAGAGAUGAUGAAGAAGAGACAAGUCCCUUCAUGGGGACAAAUGGGACACAUGGAACACCGCUAGAAGACUAUUACCACGACUGUUCCGUCACAUCCAAAUCACGCUGCUGUAAGUUCAGAUUAAAUCAUUACGUGUUUCGUAACUUUUAAUACACAAUAGUACAGUAUUAUCAACUGAUAUUAGAGAUUAGAGAAUUUAUUGGUAUAGGCUGAUAUACAUUCCUAUAGCUCAAACAGCAGAGCAUGGCUCUACCAACACCAAGAUCAUGGGAUCAAUUACCAGGGAAUGCAUAAACUGAUAAAAAGCUUCGAUAAAAGCGUCUGUAAAAGUAAAAAUGAUAUUGGUUAUUUAACUGUGCAUACUCAUUUCCCCUAUUUUUGCAUUUAGAUUUCCAAUGUCGUUAUCUUCCGCUUACUUAGUUCAAUUUAUUUAUAAAGCACAUUUAAAACAACUUUAGCUGACCAAAGUGCUGUACAUAAAGCAUAAAUCUAAUUACAGCAUUUAAAAAAUGCACAGACCUAAUCGCUACAUUAGUACUGCAUAGGCUUAAACACAACAGUAAAGUCCAUAUAAGCUUAAAACAACCUAAUCACCUAUCAUUAAAAGCAAAAGAUGUGUUUUUNGCAGCAUUAUGCAAAUCUUCCCACAUAGUGACAUAGAGAUGUGGGGGCGUGUUAGAACGAGCCGUUUUAGGGGGGCGUGGCAGAGUCUUAACUUUUAUAAAGAAUAUCUCUUUGGAUUUGAGACUUUAGUCUUUGCAACUUUACAGAUCUUCUUUAUGCACCAAGAGCUUGUAACAUUCCAAAGAGAAAGGAAAACUUGAAAUCGCAUCAUAUGACCCCUUUAACCUUUCCUUCAAUUGUGAUGAGAACACCCUCGAAUUAAAGCUUAGCGUGUGCACUUUAAGUCCAUAUUCAUUAUAUAGCUGUAAAUUGAAAAUGUUUUGGUCAGCAGCUAAAAUAGUAAAAAUUGUGCCUAAUUAUGAAGUUCACUCUAAUUGAAUAAGCUAUGACGACUAUGAUAAAAAAGAGAAUGCAUCUAUGAAUUAUCUGCAAAACAAUAACAAUAAUAGUCCGGCCCUAUCUUCCUCCAUUGCUUUAAACCCUAUGUAUUAUUUACAAACACUGCCUAAUAUUUAAAUUUAUUUAUUUUGUGCAUCCAGUUACAUCUUACGUGCAUCCAAGGCAUUUAAGAUGUUGGAUUUUUUUCUUUUUUUUUAAGACUAUUUCACUAUGAUGGAGAAUCCUUCCUGCACCAUUCAGGGCUGAAUAUUAUCCAGACUUCACUGUUAUUUCACCACGGCCAUCAAUCACACCAGAAAUGUAUAAACCAGUCAGUCAGCUGAUCUGUCAGUAGUGUUUAAAUAUAUCCAGCACAUACACCUACAUUUCUAGAACUGCACGUACAGACUGUGUUUGCAAUGACAGCGCUGAAGAUACUGAGACUGGAUGCAUACACUGUGCUGUCUCAGACGUAUCAGAUGACAGCAGCAUGUCUGAAAGCAUGACAAUUCUCCAUGUAAGCUGAUUGGCUGACAUUCAUGAGCAGCUUGUAGUAGACACCGUAUUAAAACAUGUUAAUCCUGCAAAGUUAAAAGCGGCCACUAUUUUUAGCCGCUGUUGUUAUCACACAUCAGUGGGUCUGUAUUAAAUCCUCCGCCUUCACACAAACACACGUUUACACUGCGCUUUGGUUGGAUCACACUUGUCUCUCACCAGCUCGGCUUUACUGAACACACUUGGAGGGAUUGCUAUGGCAACUGGUUGCUAUGGGUGAUGUGACACCACUACAUGCUCAUCUUUGUGAGGGGAAAGAGGGAGUUGGACCACAGAGGAGAGGAAUGGAAGCAGAGAGCCGCUGAUUUUAUUUGGAUUGCUGAACAAAUCGACGAGCUGGGUUGAAAAAGUUCUGACAACCAUCUGUCUCUGGGCGGACAGCCGUGAUGGAAGCUGUCUCUCUCCCUGCUUAUUUUGGAUCUCCAUCACCCUCCCACUGAUGAAUCCUCUUCAGUAACAACAGGUGAGAAACUAAUGCUUUCAUUGCAUUCGCAGCCCUGUGUAUGUUCACAGACAUCCCUGCUUCAACUGUCAGAGCGGCGACAUUGCAAUUUGGCCGAAUCUAGGAGGGCUCGGUUGGAUAUUUACACGGACAUUUGCUAAAAAAAAAUAACAAAUGGAGAGGGGUUAGUGUCGUGCUCCUCGUUUUUGUAAUCCAAACCCCAGGUACCCACAAUACUCAUGCGGCUGGAUUUCGAGCAACACGUUGGCAUCUCGUGCGUAUGACUUCAGGUUGUUCAAGAGAAAUCUUCGCAUUUGUGGAAAUUGAGCCAGGCUUUACAGGGAGUGCCAGGGCUGAUCGUAAGCGCUGGCAUCAAAGAACCGAACCAUUAAAGGGUCAGAGACUAUCACAGAAACCGGCGCUUUGAGACAAUGAAUCAGGGGUCAUGAAAAGCCAGUCGGAAAUGGAUUUGUUCGCCUUAAGAUGAGAGAGAUAAUUCACUCAAGGCUACUUACUGUCCUCAGCACGAUGAAUCAUUUCACUGAUGUGCACUGUGAGCUGGAUUUAAUGCUGUAAAACAUGUACACAGUAAUCUUAUAUAACAUUGUAGUGUGUGCCUUUAAACGUGAGGCCUGCGCCACACUGGCAGUGAAGUUGUUGUUGUUGUGAAUCCUCAAAAAUGUUGUUAGGUGAUGUGAUAUUUAUGAUAUUUCAGGUUAAAAUGCAUUUAAAAUCUACUUGUUCUCUGGUGAUUUUUUUCUUAUCAUCUUAUGUGUUUCCAGAAUGGCUCUAAACAAAAACCUGUUGAUCGUGAAAAUGGCCGUGUGCCCCUGACCCAUCCCGACAAACUGGAGAGGAUGGCUGAGCAUCUCCACGGCAACACACUGUCUGCAUCUGGGGCCCCCCACCCAAUCCCUUUCCUCACACUGGAACAGAAGGCUGCCUUCGUCUUCGUCCUUCUACUCUUCAUCUUUCUGGGGCUGCUUAUCGUGCGCUGCUUCCGAAUCCUUUUGGAUCCAUACAGCAGCAUGCCGAGUUCCACAUGGACAGACUAUAUGGAAAAAGACACGUUCGACUACCGCAUUGCCUGAGCUGCUAGCCAGAUUUUAGGCUAGGAGACAUGCGAUGAUUACCUCACAUGUGCGCACACACACACACACACACGCAAAAGCCGACACACAACCACCACCACACCUCCUCCACCACCUCAGAGCCAGCUGUAUCCCUCAAGUGUUGUUGUUUCGUGAUGGUGGUUUUGUGUACUUGUGGGUCUGGUUUUUCCAUUCGAAGACUGCACUUAAACACACUUUCAUGUCUCACGUGUUUUGACAGGGUUUUUCAACUCAUAGCUUCCACCACUGAUGUCACGUUCAGCAUGGCUGACAAGUCUUAGCGAUGAAUCUUUUAUGUUAGAAACCAGCCAAAUAGCUUUAUUAUUGACGAACAAUAUGGUUAAUUAUUUUCUAUGUCCAAGGAAACGACAAAUUCACAGUUCUGUAAUUGGCGGGAAAAUUAGGUUAAUCCAUUUCUCAAUGAAUCAUUCCACACUUAUCAUAAAAGCACAGUGCAUUGGUUUAAGGAUGAUUACAUCCUCUGAGCGCCUCGGUUUGGGACUCUUGAGCUUGCGCCUUAUAAAUCCGUGUGUUUACAGAACAGCCAGAGAAACUGGCCUUGCUGUUAUUCAGCUAAAUGUCAAUCAAUGUACUGACCUACCAGCCUCUGUGGGCAAACUGAAUGUUUGAUUUGCCAGGUCCUUUCCUUCCUCUCUCUACGGUGUUCUUAAUAGGAUGAGUCUGAUUUCCUCUCUGUUGUUCUUCAGUAUUUGCUGAUGUUGAAAUGGACUGUUCUAUCAAACGUUUGCCAUUCUGCCCAGGCUAUGGGUUUUUUCUUAUCAAAGUCUGGUUCACCUGUGAUUUGCUUGACUUACAUGUUUAAUAGAAAUGAAGCUGAAAUAAACAGGUCCAAUAUGUGUCUUGCGUGCA
ensembl:lncRNA